rnacentral:lncRNA from 1 species
GUUUGAAACCUAGCGGGCUGGAUGACCAGUCUCUUCUAGCUCUAAGAUGCUCUAAUUCUCAAACACUGGGAUCCCUGGGCUCCAAAGAGGCAAGGUCCUGAUCCCUUCAAACCCCAGAAUUCUGAAGACAGACCUACCUGGUGUGAGGAAAUGGGAGGGAGCAGGAUGGGGAGAAGGAUGAAGCUGGCAAGACUUGUCCCCCUGUGCCCUGCCGGGAGGGGAGGGUCCAGUGUGGUUGUGGCAAGGGUGAGCUCACUCCAUUUAUUGUCCCAUCCUUUCACUGAAUGUUUGCAGUGACAAGCACCAGAGAGCAAACUGGGCUUCCCUCACUGAGGCCACACAGAGGACAGGCCAAGAAGCCCCACAGCACAACAUUCUCCUGAUGCCUGGGCUGGGCUGGAGCUCACAUAAGACGCUUGGAUUUCUUCUGCAGACUCUCGGUGACUGAUGCUAGAACUGACUUAUCAUCUUGGUCUGAAAGAGCAAAGCAAGCGUUUGUUAGUGUUAAUGAUGCUGGGGCAAGGGAAACUUCAAACUGCUGGACUUGCAGUUACUAUGCAGGAACCAGGGGCUGGAUCCUGCCUGAGAUCCUCAGUCCUCCCUGGGGCUAGGCCGCAGCUCCAGCCCCAGUCUCCCAAGGUCAGCUGAGCACGUGGGGCCAAGAGCUGCCAAUUAUUCAGCCCUUAAUAUUUGCCAAGCACUUCUGUGCACCAUCUCAUUUAAGCCUCACAAAAGCUCUAAGAAGUAGAUGAGAAAACAGGCUCAGCGUGGCCUGCCAAGGUCACAUGGCUGGUGAGUAGUGUAGCCAGGGCCCUGGGCCCAUGUGCUUACAACCAGAAUUAAGUUGUCAGGGAUCUCUCUAGCUGUGGAGUGAAAGCUGGAUGUCUCCCGCAGUGCCUUCCCUGGCCUAGUUCUGUUACACAGUUCAGCGGCCGCUCUGGAGGCAUCAUCUCAGUGCCAGACACUUAGCUGAGUAGUUGAGAGACAGAGACAUAGGACAUGGUCCUUUCCCCAAGGGAAGGCAUUCGUAACAGGAUGAAAAAGGUCUGUAACUGUGGACUCCACGGACGCCAAGGGAGUGCCAUGCAGAGUUCAGGGAACGGCAGAGGAUGAGGCUGGAGAGGUAGAUGGGGUGGCGGGGAGCCUCGUAGGUUGGGAUUUUACCAACAGGAUCAUGGAAAAGCUAGGAGUUUAAGCAACAGGGAGCAAGGCAGGUCAGCUUUGCAUUUAGAGUUCACACUACUAGCUAUGUAGCUGUGAAGACAGUAGAGUGUGUAGGAAGAAAUAAAGUAUUUCCCCUGCAAGUGCACAGAUGAGCAGAACAUGGAACACGUGUGUGUGUUCUUGCAAACUUGCAAGUCUGCAGGGGCAAGGCACAGAACAACUUUGAGAGGUGGGAGAGAGUGGUGCAAACGGUGCCGGUCAGAGAAUGUUUACAUUACCUGAUGGCAGAGUAAAUAAAAAACGGCGCCAGCCCUGCCAGAAGAGUCUGUCAACAGCCCAGAGACCGUGAUUUUGCGCAUCUGCCCCAGACGGGACACAGCUGCUCCCGGGGCACCCCCCACACCCCUCAGGUCCGGCUCCGCGGGGCCCUCACGUAGAUGGUGAGCGCACAGCUGCUACGGUCCUCGACUGCGCCGGCGGGCCCUGAGUGGGUCCCAAGGCCAUCUCCGUCGCCCGCCGGUUUAGAGCUCGGAAGGCGCCCCGAGACCCAGCCCACGGGACCCUGAUGACCUGGGUUAGCUUCCUAUGCUAUCAGCUCUGGGACCCCAACUUUAUACUGGUUCCUAAGGUUUCCCUUUUGCCAGUUUCCCACCUCCUUGCUGCUCCAGGCUUCCACGAGUGGAAGGCUGAUGGAGGAGUGGAGCCUGAUGGACCUGUGCCAGUUCCGCGAGAUUUUACGCUUUUCCAGCCCCGGGAGUCCCAGACUUCUUUCCAGCCACCGGCUUCCCGGCCCCGAGCUGUUAUUUGGAUGGCUUUUAACUCCGCAUCCGAGCUUUCCCCAACGUCAUCCCAGCCUCCGCGGUCUCCCCUCUCUCCCAUUGAGCCCCGCGUUUCCGGUUUCCCGG